ACUAUAAGUAUCUUUAUUAAUACCUUAAUCAAAUUUAUUUUAAAAGCAUUUUUACAACUUGAUAAGCAAGAAAAAACGGUAACAACUUACAACACAGCUGAAAGAAAUAACAAAAAAUCGAUCAAACACGAAACACACUGUAUUAGUACAAAUAAAUUAUUAUUAAAUGGUAAAAGUCAAAGGACACAUGAACAAGGAAUCUUAAGAAGUAACAGUUUGGGACGUAUCACCACAACUGGUGUUGCUGUUGCUAAGAGUGAUACUAACAAAGCAGACAAUCUUGUUAGUAAUGAUAAUAAUGAUAAUGAUAAUGAUAAUAAUGAUAACAGUAAUAAUAAUCACAAUAGUAAUCACAAUGUCGUUAGUAAGAGCAGUGACACAUGUAGUGGUAAAACAGUAACAGCUGCUAACAUCGCCAUAAUUACAAAUUAUGAGUCGAAUAAUUGUCAGAACCACUGUAUAACUGGUAGCAAUAUAAACAAUUAUCAUGGAAAGGAGGAACCUGAUAGUAUAUAUGGAAAUGAUUCUGACAAAUUAGAAAAUGGACAACACCACACACCACAUGUACCACAUAAUUUCCUGAAUAAUUCACCUAAGAAAAAAUUGUUUACAUUUAAAAAUAAAAAAAAUAAAAAAGAGAUAUGUCAUUGUAAUUCUACAAAUAUUAUCAAUAAAGAAAUAGAUAAAAGUAUUAACAAUUGCUUUGAUAAAAAUAAAAAAUCACAAUCUAGGUAUAUAAUGAUAACUAAUUAUAAACAAAAAUUAAAUGUUACCCCUUUGACAAAUGUCCAACAAUCAUUUGUUAAAAACGGAUGUAUACACAACGAUAAUAGUGUCAAAUUGAGAAAUAAUGAAAAGGACAUAAAUAGUAGUGAUAAUAAUAUAAAAACAAAUAAUUACAAUAAUGAUAAUAUUACUGUAAAUAAUAAUUAUAAAAGUAAUGAACAAGACGGUUAUAAGAAUAACCUUUAUAAUGAUGUUGUUGAAGUAGGAAAAAAUGAUUGUAGUAUAAAAUAUAAUUGUGAAGGGUUAUCUAAUAAUGUUAACGGAAACAAUGCCAACACAACAAACAAACAUACAAAUGUAGAGUCAUCCCAAAUGAACGAAGGUAAAGUAUAUAAAAAUGA
rnacentral:lncRNA from 1 species